rnacentral:rRNA from 1 species
AUGAGCUCGCAGCUGCCACUAUCGCCGUUCGACCUCAUGCUAGCCAACAGAGGCUACACCCCACUCGUCCACUUCUACCGCCGACCAGAAACCGCCUGCGACGACUUCUUCGAUGUGACAAGGUUGAAGACAGCAUUGGGCAGGGCACUUGUGCCCUUCUACCCCCUGGUCGGCCGCUUGAGGGCGGGCACCGACGACCGGUUACAGAUCGACUGCAACGGCAAGGGCAUGCUCUUCCUGGUGGCUCAGUCUCGUCUCACCAUGGAUGACUUCAGCGACUUCAAGCCAUCCUCAAAGCAAAGAAGGUUGUUUGUUCCCCACGUCGACAACUCAGACGGCCUCUUGUGGGCUGCACAGGUGACAUUUUUGAAGUGUGGUGGGGUGGUCUUAGGGUCGGCAACGCACCAUGCUGCCAUGGACGGCUCUGUUGUAUUCCACUUCUUUCGGACAUGGUCAGCUUUCUCCAGGGAUGGCGACUGGGCUAUGGUGAACCUCCCCUGCCAUGGCCGCACACGCUUGUGUGCGUGUGAUCCACCCAUUGUUCAUCCCGAAGCACUUGCUGUUUUUAGCCCCAAUAUCAACCUACCUCCACAGCCGGGGCAUGUCGUCAACGAGGUUGUUGUCUUCACCCUUUCCAAGGACCAACUUUCAAGUCUCAAGCGCAUUUCUGGUGGGGAUGCCAUGAGCACCUUCAGUGCAGUCAGUGCCCACCUGUGGCAAUGCAUGUGCUUAGCCCGGAUGCUACGGCCGGACGCUACGACCCAGCUUAUGUUCUCAGCCAACAUCCGUCGCAUCAUGAGGCCACCACUCCUAGACGGCUACUUCGGCAAUGCUAUAAUAAACCUAAGUGUCACCGACAAAGUGCGUGACAUCAGUUCGUGCGAGCAGCUGACAUACAUCAUGCGGUGA